AGUGAACGCUGGCGGUAGGCCUAACACAUGCGAGUCGAACGGCAGCACAGUAAGAGCUUGCUCUUACGGGUGGCGAGUGGCGGACGGGUGAGGAAUACAUCGGAAUCUACUUUUUCGUGGGGGAUAACGUAGGGAAACUUACGCUAAUACCGCAUACGACCUACGGGUGAAAGCAGGGGAUCUUCGGACCUUGCGCGAUUGAAUGAGCCGAUGUCGGAUUAGCUAGUUGGCGGGGUAAAGGCCCACCAAGGCGACGAUCCGUAGCUGGUCUGAGAGGAUGAUCAGCCACACUGGAACUGAGACACGGUCCCGACUCCUACGGGAGGCAGCAGUGGGGAAUAUUGGACAAUGGGCGCAAGCCUGAUCCAGCCAUACCGCGUGGGUGAAGAAGGCCUUCGGGUUGUAAAGCCCUUUUGUUGGGAAAGAAAAGCAGCAGGUUAAUACCCCGCUGUUCUGACGGUACCCAAAGAAUAAGCACCGGCUAACUUC
rnacentral:rRNA from 1 species